rnacentral:rRNA from 1 species
UACGUAGGGUGCGAGCGUUAAUCGGAAUUACUGGGCGUAAAGCGUGCGCAGGCGGUGCGCCAAGCUCGAUGGGAAAGCCCCGGGCUUAACCUGGGAAUUGCAUUGAGGACUGGCGUGCUCGAGUGCGGCAGAGGGGGGUGGAAUUCCACGUGUAGCAGUGAAAUGCGUAGAGAUGUGGAGGAACACCGAUGGCGAAGGCAGCCCCCUGGGCCGACACUGACGCUCAUGCACGAAAGCGUGGGGAGCAAGCAGG